rnacentral:lncRNA from 1 species
AAACUUUAUCUUUUGGUGGAGGUUGUUGCUGAUUAAGUGAUGAAAUGAUUUGUGGAGGAAGAGCAAAUUUUCAUAAUGAAUCAAAUCCUUGAUUAUCUUUUGUAAAAUGAAUCAUAAAUUUUAUUUAGGAGAAUCUAAAGAAUACAUGAUAAAUCCAACUACAAAAUAACAUAUAAUGAUUAUAUGAUGAUCAUAGACUUUAAUUUAAGAUUAUUUAAACAGAGUUCAUAUUUGUUUAGUAAACAGGAACUUGUAAGAACAGAAGAUUUAUUAGCUAUAUACUCACUAGAUUUACCUCAAGAAAUAAAACAAAGGAUCAUAAAUUAUAUCAAAAUAGAUAAUCUAAAACAUAACAUAAUUAUGUUAACUAUAGAAGAAGGAAUAGAUGUAGCAAAAGCAUACUUGGAACAAAAAAGUUAUAGAGAAGAACCUUCUUAUAGUUAUAAUUCUGAUAACGAAGAAUUUGAAAUAUAAAUUAUAAAUCUCUUCACAUAAAUAUGGAUAAGUGUAUAUUGGCUGGAAACCAAGGUGUGCGAACUACUGGCUCAAAGGAGAUUUAAAUAUCUUGGGUUACCAAGGAUCUCAUCACUCUGGUAAAACAACGCCACGUACAACUAUUCGCUGGUAUUAAAUAAAAUGUAUCAUACAUUUAAAACAUCUUUUUGUUAUAUACUUUGAUUAUUUUGUAAAUCUAUUUCUAAUAUAAAAUAAUAAUAUAGCAUUCAGUUUGCUUAUUUUGUUCAUAGCUGGUAAUUACAAUUAUCUGGUUGUUAUAAUUAACUCUGUUGUGUAUUUUGUAAACCAAUUCGUAAAUUAUUGUUUUUCAUUUUUUCUGUUGUUCGUUUUUUCUAUUUGUCUGUGAACAAGAUGGUAUCAGAGCCAUGAAAAAUCCAAGACCAUAAACAUGGAUCCUAUACAAUUGAGGUUGUUGCUGAUUAAGUGAUGAAAUGAUUUGUGGAGGAAGAGCAAAUUUUCAUAAUGAAUCAAAUCCUUGAUUAUCUUUUGUAAAAUGAAUCAUAAAUUUUAUUUAGGAGAAUCUAAAGAAUACAUGAUAAAUCCAACUACAAAAUAACAUAUAAUGAUUAUAUGAUGAUCAUAGACUUUAAUUUAAGAUUAUUUAAACAGAGUUCAUAUUUGUUUAGUAAACAGGAACUUGUAAGAACAGAAGAUUUAUUAGCUAUAUACUCACUAGAUUUACCUCAAGAAAUAAAACAAAGGAUCAUAAAUUAUAUCAAAAUAGAUAAUCUAAAACAUAACAUAAUUAUGUUAACUAUAGAAGAAGGAAUAGAUGUAGCAAAAGCAUACUUGGAACAAAAAAGUUAUAGAGAAGAACCUUCUUAUAGUUAUAAUUCUGAUAACGAAGAAUUUGAAAUAUAAAUUAUAAAUCUCUUCACAUAAAUAUGGAUAAGUGUAUAUUGGCUGGAAACCAAGGUG